rnacentral:misc_RNA from 1 species
GAUGAAGAACGCAGCGAAAUGCGAUAAGUAAUGUGAAUUGCAGAAUUCAGUGAAUCAUCGAAUCUUUGAACGCACAUUGCGCCCGCCAGCAUUCUGGCGGGCAUGCCUGUUCGAGCGUCAUUUCAACCCUCGAGCCCCCCCCGGGGGCCUCGGUGUUGGGGGCCGGCACACCAGCCGCCCCCGAAAUGCAGUGGCGACCCCGCCGCAGCCUCCCCUGCGUAGUAGCACACACCUCGCACCGGAGCGCGGAGGCGGUCACGCCGUAAAACGCCCAACUUUCUUAGAGUUGACCUCGGAUCAGGUAGGAAUACCCGCUGAACUUAAGCAUAUCAAUAAGCGGAGGA